UCUACGGGUGGCAGCAGUGAGGAAUAUUGGUCAAUGGGCUUACGCCUGAACCAGCCAAGUCGCGUGAGGGAAGACUGCCCUAUGGGUUGUAAACCUCUUUUGUCAGGGAGCAAUUGGCGCUACGUGUAGCGUUAUCGAGAGUACCUGCAGAAAAAGCAUCGGCUAACUCCGUGCCAGCAGCCGCGGUAAUACGGAAGGCCCGAGCGUUAUCCGGAUUCAUUGGGCUUAAAGGGAGCGUAGGCGGGCGUUCAAGUCAGCUGUAAAAUCGCGCGGCUCCACCGCGCCCCGCAGUUGAAACUGGACGCAUUGAGUGCACAACAGGCAGGCGGAAUUCGUGGUGUAGCGGUGAACUGCAUAGAUAUCACGAGGAACCCCGAUUGCGAAGGCAGCCUGCCGGGGUGCGACUGACGCUGAGGCUCGAAGGUGCGGGUAUCAAACAGGAUUAGAUACCCUUGUAGUC
rnacentral:rRNA from 1 species